rnacentral:tRNA from 2 species
CCACCGCUUUAGUCCGCUCAGCCAUCUCUCC